GCGUUAGGAGCCAAAGAGAAGGCACUACCGUCAACAGGUGUUGGCCUGGAGGGGACCCAGUGCGGCGGGGACGGCGGAUGUGGGUGACGGCGCGGCGUGCGGCGGCCUAGAGGUGGGGGUGGGAGGGGUGAGGUGACCUAGGGGCGUGCGGCGUGGUGGGGGCCGGUACCCGCGACCGAUGGGCGGAGGGGGAGGGGGUCGAGGGGGCCUAGGGGCGUGGUGGGCCGGUACCGCUACCGACGAGGGGAGCGGCCCUUAGGGGCGAGGAGGCUGGUACUUCCCGAGGAGAUCGAGGCCGGCACGCGAGGUCGUGGCUGUCGGUGCGAGCAUGAGCACAUUAAGUUGACGCUGGGGUGGUAGCCUACCCGCCGGUACCGUACGGUUGUACGGCAGGGCCGCCUUCAGGAAAGGAGACAUAGAACUGGGGCCUGGAAAAAAAGACAUAGAAGUUUAACCGAGAGAGGGGAGAGAAAAAACCUAAAGUGCGAAGAGAAAGGAGAAGUUGACAAGCACUGGAAGGAGGGUCCAGAUGAAGGCGUAAAAACCAACCACUUCGUACGGUAGCAAGAAGCAAAGUUAGGUUUAGUCUGUACCCAGCCAGAGCGCGCGCUCGUGCCGUCGGGGACUCGUUGUAAAGCUACGAGCGUGAAGGAUCCUUGGUCCUCGGGGUGCUGGCGAAGGGAAAGAAGUCGAGCGACGGCUCGCAGAGGUCGAUUCUGCACUGCAGCUCUACCGGUACCGGCGGGCUACGGCCUCGCGGCGGCCGGUUCCUGGGUGGCCGUAGGUCUGGGGGAGGUGCGGUAGAGGUAGAGCGGCCUCUGGACGUGGUUCAGGGUAGGUCGCGGAAGCGGUGGGAAGCGGGGGGCGGGGCAUCGAGACGUCGGGCUCGCGAAUUGGCUGAACACGGACUUCGUCUCCUCUCCUCGAGGGACGGUGCUCGGAGAGGCCGCGACCGUUUGGUCGUCCGACUGGGGCGGAGGAUGGAAAAAAAGGCGGCGCUGCGUAGUGGGGAAGCGACAGAGGAUGCCGCACCUGCGGCUGCCGUUCGCCGCCGGCCAUGGGCCGCCACCUCUUGCGCCACUUCGUCAAAUUAAUUCCUAGCGCCCAUCCUAACAUUGAUUACGUCCCAACUAAAACAUUUUUGCUUCGCAAAAGACUAUAGAAAUGGAUUAUUAUUUCGUUUA
rnacentral:rRNA from 1 species